UGGAAUGUAGCUCAGUGGUAGAGCAAUGGCCUUGUAAGCUAUGUGUCGCAGGUUCGAUUCCUGCCUUUUCGA
rnacentral:tRNA from 1 species